rnacentral:rRNA from 1 species
GACGAACGCUGGCGGCGUGCUUUAUACAUGCAAGUCGAACGAUGAAGUUCCUUCGGGAAUGGAUUAGUGGCGAACGGGUGAGGAACACGUGAGAAACCUGCCUUUCAUUCUGGGAUAACACCGGGAAACCGGUGCUAAUACCGGAUACUCCGUCUUGGCGGCAUCGCCGAGCCGGGAAAAAUUUUGAUGAAAGAUGGUCUCGCGGCCUAUCAGCUAGUUGGUGAGGUAAUGGCUCACCAAGACAAUGAUC